ACUUCGCCGUCUCCCUGGGAGAAGUGCAUGUCCCCUGUACUAAGAUUUGCUCCAUCUACAAAUACUGGAAGGUAUAUUUUUGAACCUGUACUGAGAUUCUUGAUGUCACAGUUUCCUCCAUUUUCCCUUCCUGGGAUAGUCCUUGCAGCCUCUCUAGCAAUUCUUUCCCAUUCAGGAGUUCCCUUUUGGAUCUGCCCAUAAUAAUGACCUGUUAGCAUAACUGAAUCCUACUGAUGGGAAGUUCCCAGUCCAAAAAGCCACAUUUUUCUGGGCACUGAAUUGUUAAAACUAUGUGGAUUAUAGGAAAAUAAAGUGUGGGGGAAUUCGAAAUACUCCUAUCGUGAUGUCUUCUAUGUUGACAUAUGUUCAUCUUUAUGCACCUUUCCAAGAUGGCAGCCUUUGGUUGAUGGAAGAUUUGCCAAUGGCCGGGAAUGCAGAACCUCGCAUAGUUUCAGAGUCUGGAGACCAUUUUCUUCUACUUGUCUCUCUCUCUCAUUCCAUAUAUUCAGAAGUUCCAUUGAUGGUGCAGUUCCAACUAUUCCAGGG
rnacentral:lncRNA from 1 species